rnacentral:rRNA from 1 species
UACGGGGGGGGCAAGCGUUGUUCGGAAUUACUGGGCGUAAAGGGCGCGUAGGCGGUUUGCUAAGUUGGAUGUGAAAACUCUGGGCUUAACCCAGAGCCUGCAUCCAAAACUGGCAAACUUGAGUACUGGAGGGGAAAGCGGAAUUCCUGGUGUAGCGGUGAAAUGCGUAGAUAUCAGGAGGAACACCGGUGGCGAAGGCAAUCCCCUGGGCCUGCACUGACGCUCAUGCACGAAAGCGUGGGGAGCAAACAGG